UACGUAGGGUGCAAGCGUUGUCCGGAAUUAUUGGGCGUAAAGAGCUCGUAGGCGGUCUGUUGCGUCGGCUGUGAAAACCCGAGGCUCAACCUCGGGCCUGCAGCCGAUACGGGCAGACUAGAGUUCGGCAGGGGAGACUGGAAUUCCUGGUGUAGCGGUGAAAUGCGCAGAUAUCAGGAGGAACACCGGUGGCGAAGGCGGGUCUCUGGGACGGUACUGACGCUGAGACGCGAAAGCGUGGGGAGCGAACAGG
rnacentral:rRNA from 1 species